CAGUCGCACGGACUGUUUCGGCAGUUAGUGGCGGACGGGUGAGUAACACGUAGGUGACCUGCCCCAAAGUCGGGGACAACUAGGAGAAAUCUUAGCUAAUCCUCGAUGUGGACCCACCCCCUGGGGUGUGUCUAAAGCUUCGGCGCUUUGGGAUGGGCCUGCGCUGGAUCAGGUAGUUGGUAGGGUAAUGGCCUACCAAGCCGACGACCCAUAGCUGGUCUGAGAGGACGACCAGCCACAGGGGUACUGAGACACGGACCCCACUCCUACGGGAGGCAGCAGUUAGGAAUCUUCCGCAAUGGGCGAAAGCCUGACGGAGCGAUACCGCUUGAAGGACGGAGCCCCUCGGGGUGUAAACUUCUGAACUGGGGACGAUCAUGACGGUACCCAGGUAAUAGCACCGGCUAACUCCGUGCCAGCAGCCGCGGUAAUACGGAGGGUGCAAGCGUUACCCGGAUUUACUGGGUGUAAAGGGCGUGUAGGCGGUCUCUCAAGUCCGAUGCUAAAGACCAAGGCUCAACCUCGGGGGUGCGUUGGAUACUGUGAGGCUAGACGGUCGGAGAGGGUAGCGGAAUUUCCGGAGUAGCGGUGAAAUGCGCAGAUACCGGAAGGAACGCCAAUAGCGAAAGCAGCUACCUGGACGAUUUGUGACGCUGAGGCGCGAAAGCGUGGGGAGCAAACCGGAUUAGAUACCCGGGUAGUCCACGCCCUAAACGUUGAGUGCUGGGUGUCCGACAUCUGUUGGGUGCCGUAGCUAACGCGUUAAGCACUCCACCUG
rnacentral:rRNA from 1 species